UGGUGGAGUGAUUUGUCUGGUUAAUUCCGAUAACGAACGAGACCCCGUCCUACUUACUAGACCGAGGAUCCUCUCGUUCUCGCUGUCUUCUUAGAGGGACAACUGCCUAUACCUUGAACUACAUGAAAUGGGGCAAUAACA
rnacentral:rRNA from 1 species